CUUCCUAUUAAUUAAUGAUUGAGCCUUCAGUAAAGUAAGGUCUAUGAUUGGUGGAUUAAAUUGAUUUUUUCCCAAAUCAAUAAACUAAGGGCUUGAAAUUUGCUAAAUCGCAAUGCGGGUUUGAUGUGAAAGUGGUGGUUGUCGUUAUAGAGUGAGGUGCAGGUAGGAGUCCCUGGUACAAUCUACUAACAUGUAUACCGUGUUGUAUUUUUGGGGGCCUGUUUAGCUUCUUGUUUGGGGGUUGGGGUGGUGGUGGGUUGCUAUGGUGAUGAGUGGUGGUAAGUUGCUGGACGUGUGUGGAUCUAUUUGUGGUACGUGUGUUUGGAUUAGUGGUGGUGCAUGUUGUCUUGGUGAGGUGGUGUGCGUUUGAUCUCUCAUGGUAUUGGAAAGGGGGGUGGCAAUGGCAACAGGGUGUGACCAACUCUAUUUUUAGUGUAACUUUUUGUGACUAGAUCUGUGAUUGUAUCUGACUUAAUUACAUACAGUCACAAAUAAAACUAUUCUAGCCACAGAUAAUCACAGUGAAUGUAGUAUUUAUGGUGUGGAUUUAAGUUGAAUGUGGUAGUGGUAGUGCAAGUGAAUGUAGUAUUUAUGGUGUGGAUUUAAGUUGAAUGUGGUGGUGGUAGUGCAUUGGAGGUUAUAGUGGUGGUGGAUUAUGGUGUUGUUUUUGAUGUGUG
rnacentral:lncRNA from 1 species